UACAGAGGUCCCAAGCGUUGUUCGGAUUCACUGGGCGUAAAGGGUGCGUAGGUGGCGAGGUAAGUCGGAUGUGAAAGCUCGGAGCUCAACUCCGAAAUGGCAUUGGAAACUACCUUGCUCGAGGGUCGGAGGGGGGACUGGAAUACUUGGGUGUAGCAGUGAAAUGCGUAGAUAUCAAGUGGAACACCAGUGGCGAAGGCGAGUCCCUGGACGACUCCUGACACUGAGGCACGAAAGCUAGGGGAGCAAACAGG
rnacentral:rRNA from 1 species